GAAAUGCGAUAAGUAAUGUGAAUUGCAGAAUUCAGUGAAUCAUCGAAUCUUUGAACGCACCUUGCGCCCCUUGGUAUUCCGAGGGGCAUGCCUGUUUGAGUGUCAUGUAAUUCUCAAUCCUCUUUUUCUUAAUUGAAGAAGGGGCUUGGACUUGGAGGGUAUAUAUAUAUGCUGGUACUGUUUGUAUCGGCUCCUCUCAAAUGCAUUAGCUGGACUGUAGUUCGCAUUGUUUGGUGUAAUAGUUUUCUAUCUAUAUUCACUGCAGUGCUUGCUUAAACUGUCUGCUUCUAAUAGUCUGCCUAUGUGUCAGACAGGUACUUUGUUACCUUAAACCAUUUGACUCCUUUGACCUCAAAUCAGGUAGGACUACCCGCUGAACUUAA
rnacentral:misc_RNA from 1 species